rnacentral:lncRNA from 1 species
CUUGAGAAUAAGUCAUUUCCCAAACAUACUAGGACACACUUUGGAAAGAGUGAGGGCCAGAGUUCUUUUAAGCCUCAGGAAAACUUUGGGUAAAAGAGAUGGAAGCCUGGGUCCAAAGUGACAAAGGAAGCACAAAUGUGUUAAUGAUGCAGAAGUCACCGCCUGGGCUUUGAAUGCUGCUGACACAUCAAAGGGCCCUGUUUGCCACAAAGAAGAAGAUCAUUUCUGGAGAGGGACAAAACCUUUGGGAGAAUGCUGCUGAAGCCCUUGAUUCACUGGUUAAUUAUGCAGACCAGCCCUCUGUUCUGCUGCCCCAGAGGUCAUGAAUUUGAACAUGCUUCAUGCCACCUUCAGAACAAACAGGCAAAACAACCCCAAACCAGGCUGUCUUUGGGGACUUUGUCAAGAAAGCCACUUUUUGGGCAACAUCAGCAUAUGCAAUACAAAUAUUCUCAUCAAAUAUUCACUUAUUUAAGCCAUUAAAUGAGAGGAAAAUUCUUCAGUAAAUAAGUACUUAAGAUAGCUGUCUUAUUUCACCAGUAGGCUAUAGAAUACCCAAAGCCUACAUUAAACUGUAUGUUAAGAUAGUUGAGAGAAAACUAGAAUUAGUUUUCUAUGUUUUAAAUAAUUCUAUGAUAGAACACAAGAAGACUAUUAACCAAAAUGUUAUGUCUUUGCUUGGAGGAAAUUUGUUAUUUUUAAUUCUGCUUUUUUAUACAUUCCAAAUUUAUUACAGUAAACAUAGACUACUUAUCUAGUGAAAGAAUAUAAAUAUUUUUCUUAUUGUGACAGAACACCCUAUAUGCCAGCAACAUUUUCUAGAAAAAUACUCAACUUCUCAAAAUGACUCAUUCUCUGAGGUUAGGUAGCCAAGGCUUGAUUGUAAUUUAGCAUGAAAUAGAAAGAGAAACUCAAGAGACUACACAGGUAAGAGAGUUUCACUGAGCUCAUUUAAUUUUCCAUUAGUAAUGGAAUUUUUAAUCACCUAAGUCACCGGUUUGCAUGUCUGUUUUCACUAAGGAUACAGGCAGGUGGGAGAUGUGCAGUUAUUUUAUAAUUAUUUAUUUGUAUGUGUUGAGAAAAAGCCCUCAGAAAUUUUAGCAGAAACUGGUUGGUCAGACUUAAGAGGAAUUAUCAAUAUCCUUCUUCAUUAAAAAAAAAAAAAAAAAAAAAAGCUGAAUUGGCAACUUCACAAAUUUAUUCACUGUUAGAAAUAGUUUUUCUAGUCCAAUUCUCAAACCCACACCUGGCCUCCCUCCUUUUAGCAGGAGAUUUGCCAUUUUUUAUUUACAGAGUGAGUUAUUUGAACGCUCUCAAAUUUCCACCUUCUCAGUUCCAGUUUUUUUUAUUUUUUUGUUUUUUGUUUUUGUCUUUUUGUCUUUUUAGGGCCGCAGGUGCAGCAUAUGGAGGUUCCCAGGCUAGGGGUCUAAUCAGAGUUAUAGCUGCUGGCCUAUACCAGAGCCACAGCAAGGCCAGAUCCAAGCCGUGUCUUCGACCUAUGCCACAGCUCAUGGCAACGCCAAUUCCUUAACCCACUGAGUGAGUGAGGCUAGGGAUCGAACCCAAAACCUCAUGGUUCCUAGUCAGGUUCCUUUCCACUGCGCCACAACGGGAACUCCCUCAGUUCCAGUUUUUAGGUCUCUUGGCUCUUUUUCUUUCCUGUUCUAGAGGAAAGAUGCUUCCCCAGCCUUCUCACCAGAGUUUGCAGACACCUCCUCUGCCCUCUCUUCAGAAACUUCUAUUCAGUGGACAUCCUAUUGCUUGGAUUUCAAUCUUUCCAUCUUUACUGACACUGAAUUAUUAUUGAAUGAUAUACUGAAUUAUUUUUCAGUUGAAAAGCAAGCCAAAACAUAACCAUAAAAAAUAAAACCUGGAGUUCCCAUCAUGGCACAGUGGUUAACGAGUCCGACUAGGAAACAUGAGGUUGCGGGUUCGGUCCCUGCCCUUGCUCAGUGGGUUGACAAUCAGGCAUUGCUGUGAGCUGUGGUGUAGGUUGCAGACGCAGCUCGGAUCCCACGUUGCUGUAGCUCACCCCUAGCCUGGGAAUCUCCAUGUGCAGCGGGAGCGGCCCAAGAGAUGGCAAAAAGACAAAGAAAAAAAGAAAGAAAGAAAGAAAACCCCAAAAUACAAAGUUCAAUAAAUUCAAAUAGAAAUAUGAAAUCCACAAAGAAAACCCCAAAAUACAAAGUUCAAUAAAUUCAAAUAGAAAUAUUUUUUAAAAUAUUAAUGUAAAACAAAGUAUAAACAAAGACUAAUAACAAACAAUAGUUAUUUGCAAAGUAUAUGAUUACCAGAGGAUAAAAUCCUCAUCAUUAUAUAACAUAACCAUAAUAUAUAAUCAAUAAUUUUUACAAAUCAGUAAGAACUGAGAAUACAUUUUACAUCACAUAUUUAAAUGCUGAAAUCUGAUUAUUUCAUAAAUCAUAUAGAAUUUAUGUCGUAUCUAUUGAUAUAUAUUCAUUAUUUAAGUAAUACUUUACUAUAGCUUAAGGCCAAGAGUUGUGGCUAUAGACAUUGACAGAUUAGUAGUUCGUUUUGAUUAUAAGAACUCUUGUCCUCCAACAACAAAUGAAGAACUUUUCUUAAUACGUGGUUUAGAGAUUGGCAAACCAUGAGCCUAUGGGCCAAAUUUAACCCACCACCCAUUUCUGUAAAGAAAGUUACUGAAAGAUAGGCAUGCCCAUUUAUUUACACACUGCCUAUAGCUGCUUUCAUGCUAUAGGGGCAAAACUGAGUAGUUGCAAUGGAGUUGUAUGGCCUGCAAAAUCUGAAAUAUUUACUCUCUGGCCCUUCACUGAAAAAAAGGUUUCCAACUGCUUGUUUAGAAUAUUUAGCUUAUUUAAAUCACAGAAAUAUUGGAGUUCCCUUUAUGGCACACCGGAAAUGAAUCCGACUAGUAACCAUGAGGUGGCAGGUUUGAUCCCUGGCCUUGCUCAGUGGACUGAGGAUCCAGCAUUGCCAUGAGCUGUGGUGCAGAUCACAGAUGUGGCUUGGAUCCCAUGCUGCUGUGGUGUAGGCUGGCAGCUGUAGGUCCAAUUCAACCCCUAGCCUGGGAACCUCACGUGCUGUGAGUGUGGCCUUAAAGAGAAAAAAAAAAAAAAAAAAUCACAGAAAUAUUUGAUCCAUUUUCCAGGAUCAUUCCUUUUUAAUUCCAUACAAUUAUAUCCUACAAGGCAUAAGGAUUUGUUGUUGCUGUUUGGUUUUUUGGUGGGACCAGGGAUUGAACCCGUGCCACAGCAGUGACCUUAGCCACAGGAGUAAUAAUGCCAGAUCCUUAUCCUUAUCCUUCCCUUAGGUCACCAGGGAAGUCCAGUAAGUUUUUUUUUUUCUUUUUUUUAAGAACAUAAAUUCCUAAAUAGAAAGGAUUAGGUUUUUAUACUUUAGGUGUAAUAUGUUCACAUUACCAUAAUUGAAUAAUAGAACAGUAAUCUUUCAAAAACAUAAGUUUUAAAACUGUUAAAGAAAAACUUCAGAAGAGUUACAAACAUCCAUGCAGAACUGAAUACAAUAAUCAUGAAAUUAUUUAAAUAGACUGAAUUCUGUAGUUUUGAGUGUUAUCUUGCUAAGGCACUACCAUAGAUCCUUUUCUGACAGUAUAACUGUCAGUAAAACAGAAA